AAAAAGACAUUUGAAGGAUCCCAAACGACACCGUUUGUUUGUACAUUUUUCCAAUUGGCAUGAUAAAAUUGAGCCCUUUCGCCAGAAUUUUCAAUAGACGCCUCUGGCAGACAAUCGCCUCUGUAGAUCCAAAACUCCCAUCACUCUCGUUUGAGCAUGGCAGCCAAGUAUAUUAUUUCUGCUGUAGUCGGAUCGUUUGCGAUUGCAUAUGCAUGUGACCAACUUAUUGCUGACAAGAAGAUAUUUGGAGGCACUACCCCUAAAACUGUUGCAAGCAAUGAAUGGUGGGAAGAAACUGACAAGAAAUUCCAGGCAUGGCCUCGUACUGCAGGGCCACCAGUUGUGAUGAAUCCAAUUAGUCGCCAAAACUUCAUUGUGAAGUCCCGUGACUCUUGAACCAUAUUUUAGCUGGUGAUCUAUUGGGUUAUUGAUUGCUAAUACCUUUAUUGGUAAUGUUUUGCCUGGUUUAGUACUUCAACAUGGCCACUAUUAGUUGAGACGGGUCUUGUUUCUUAUUUACUUUCUCUUCCUGAAAUGGGUUUGAUUGACAAAUGCUGUUGCCUUCACUAAAUCAAAAUAAAUGUCAGCCUGAUUCAGCUGUGUUUAUACUUUGUA